rnacentral:ncRNA from 1 species
UCCAUUAUCUAUAUCAAAUAGGAAGGGAGGUUGAAAAUAAGCAUAGAUCUGGAGAUUACCAAAUAGGUCAACCUUUUAAACUGCCUGCUGAAUCCAUGAACAGGCAAGAGACAACCUGGCGAACUGAAACAUCUUAGCAGCUAGAGGAAAAGAAAGCAUUUAAC